rnacentral:rRNA from 1 species
GAUGAACGCUAGCUACAGGCUUAACACAUGCAAGUCGAGGGGAAACGAUAUUGGAAGCUUGCUUCCGAUAGGCGUCGACCGGCGCACGGGUGAGUAACGCGUAUCCAACCUGCCCAUCACUUGGGGAUAACCUUGCGAAAGUAAGACUAAUACCCAAUGACGUCUCUAGAAGACAUCUGAAAGAGAUUAAAGAUUUAUCGGUGAUGGAUGGGGAUGCGUCUGAUUAGCUUGUUGGCGGGGUAACGGCCCACCAAGGCGACGAUCAGUAGGGGUUCUGAGAGGAAGGUCCCCCCACAUUGGAACUGAGACACGGUCCAAACUCCUACGGGAGGCAGCAGUGAGGAAUAUUGGUCAAUGGGACGAGAGUCUGAACCAGCCAAGUAGCGUGCAGGAUGACGGCCCUAUGGGUUGUAAACUGCUUUUAUAAGGGAAUAAAGUGAGUCUCGUGAGACUUUUUGCAUGUACCUUAUGAAUAAGGACCGGCUAAUUCCGUGCCAGCAG